rnacentral:rRNA from 1 species
UACGGAAUGUGCAAACGUUAUUCGGAAUCACUGGGCUUAAAGAGUCCGUAGGCGGCUUGUUAGGUGAGGUGUGAAAUCCCUCGGCCCAACCGAGGAAUUGCGCUUCAAACCGGCAAGCUAGAGGAGGAUAGAGGUGGGCGGAACUGAUGGUGGAGCGGUGAAAUGCGUUGAUAUCAGGAGGAACACCGGUGGCGAAGGCGGCUUUCUGGACAGAAACUGACGCUGAUGCGCGAAAGCUAGGGGAGCAAACAGG